rnacentral:tRNA from 1 species
UAAAAUUAGUUAAAUAAUAACACAGGUUUGUCAAACCUGAAUUAUCAUAUAUGAUAUUUUAAAA